AUUGAACGCUGGCGGCAGGCUUAACACAUGCAAGUCGAGCGGGGGAAGGUAGCUUGCUACCGGACCUAGCGGCGGACGGGUGAGUAAUGCUUAGGAAUCUGCCUAUUAGUGGGGGACAACAUCUCGAAAGGGAUGCUAAUACCGCAUACGUCCUACGGGAGAAAGCAGGGGAUCUUCGGACCUUGCGCUAAUAGAUGAGCCUAAGUCGGAUUAGCUAGUUGGUGGGGUAAAGGCCUACCAAGGCGACGAUCUGUAGCGGGUCUGAGAGGAUGAUCCGCCACACUGGGACUGAGACACGGCACAGAAUCCUACGGGAGGCAGCAGUGGGGAAUAUUGGACAAUGGGGGGAGCCCUGAUCCAGCCAUGCCGCGUGUGUGAAGAAGGCCUUAUGGUUGUAAAGCACUUUAAGCGAGGAGGAGGCUACUCUAGUUAAUACCUAGGGAUAGUGGACGUUACUCGCAGAAUAAGCACCGGCUAACUCUGUGCCAGCCGCCGCGGUAA
rnacentral:rRNA from 1 species